CAUUAUUGUUCAUUCAUCAUUCAACAUAUACAUUCUAGUAUCAAGCAAUUCUUUUCCAAAUUCAAGUGGAAAUUUCCAUUUUCAAUCAAGAUUCAAGAAUUGUUUGAUUUCCAUACAACAAAUUCAUCAUUCAUAAAAUUCAUUCAAGUUUUGUGUUCAAGUUACAAUUUUGGGACAAUUUACAAAAGGGAUUACAAUGCGAAAUACGAACUACAAUUGUUUUGUUUACAAAAUAAAGAAAUGAUUCUUCUUUUUCAAGUCUCUUUACUUCGUCUUCGAGUAACUCGUCCUCCUUUCUCGCCGUGA